rnacentral:rRNA from 1 species
AUUGAACGCUAGCGGGAUGCCUUACACAUGCAAGUCGAACGGCAGCACGGACUUCGGUCUGGUGGCGAGUGGCGAACGGGUGAGUAAUGUAUCGGAACGUGCCUAGUAGCGGGGGAUAACUACGCGAAAGCGUAGCUAAUACCGCAUACGCCCUACGGGGGAAAGGCAGGGGAUCGCAAGACCUUGCACUAUUAGAGCGG